rnacentral:rRNA from 1 species
GACGAACGCUGGCGGCGUGCUUAACACAUGCAAGUCGAACGAAAAGAGGGAAAGAGCUUGCUCUUUCCGGAAUUGAGUGGCAAACGGGUGAGUAACACGUAAACAACCUGCCUUCAGGAUGGGGACAACAGACGGAAACGACUGCUAAUACCGAAUAAGUUCCAAGAGCCGCAUGGCCCAUGGAAGAAAAGGUGGCCUCUACCUGUAAGCUAUCGCCUGAAGAGGGGUUUGCGUCUGAUUAGCUGGUUGGAGGGGUAACGGCCCACCAAGGCGACGAUCAGUAGCCGGUCUGAGAGGAUGAACGGCCAAACUGGAACUGGAGCACGGUCCAGACUCCUACGGGAGGCAGCAGUGGGGAAUCUUCCGCAAUGGGCGAAAGCCUGACGGAGCAACGCCGCGUGAGUGAUGACGGCCUUCGGGUUGUAAAACUCUGUGAUCCGGGACGAAAAGGCAGAGUGCGAAGAACAAACUGCAUUGACGGUACCGGAAAAGCAAGCCACGGCUAACUACGUG